UGUGCUGGGGAGGGGUGAGAAGGCCGCAGAGCUGAAGCCAUGGCGCAGGGAUGUGGGCAGGGCAAGGCUGCCGGGCCCGCUUUCAGUCACCCAGUCUUGAAUCUUCAUGGUCAGGACUCACCCAAACAGAUAAUGAUGGAACUGUAGAAAAAAAUGAGCCUGAUUUUGCCUUAUCACUGGAGGGCCCACGGAAGCACGGUGACUCAAGGAAGCUUUAUCCUUGGACUCCUUUGAAGACUUGCAGGCAGCUCCACAAGCUCGAGAAGACACUCGUCUCCUGGUGAUUGUUACAAGGCUUUUCAGUGAAAGGGCCUUGUUUAUUCUCUGGAAGUUAGACCUGGAAUGCACCUGCUUGUGGUGAGAGUUGUGAAACAGGCCAACGACUCGUUCAAAGGGAGAGUAAUCCAGAAGCACAGCAGGAGGGGCCUCUGUCUACACACAACCCUUUCUGCUCCUGUGCACUGGUCAACUUGAUUAGACUUUGAAAUCCCCUAGGAGACACACUUCCGGACAUCACUUUGAGGUCAUGUCCAGGGAAGUUUUGAGUCAGGAAAACUCAACUUGGACGUAGGUGUCAGCAUCCCAUGAGAUGAGACCCAAGGCUGAACAAUGAAGGAAAGUCAACUGUGCACCACCGUCCAUCCAUCUCCGCUUCCUGAUUUGGGGCUCAAUUUGAACACCUGUCUCACGCUGCCACAAGGUCCAGACACUUGUCUUUGCCCCGGACUCUCUCCGUGUGUCCUCCUGUAUCUGAACCUGCAGAGAUCCCAGCACUCACUGGCUCACCGGCCACUGUCUUCACCCACAUCCAUCAGGAAGGACCUCGUGGAAAAGAGGUUCUGUCCUGAGUGGUUGGAAUCCCAGUAGGGGCCUUUCAGGUCACAUUGGCUCAUUGGGGUGGGGUCCCUUAGUCUCAACACCUUAAAAAGAAAAGAGAAAAAAAAAAGAAAAGAAUCAGGCUCCUUAACUCCAUCAAUUCACUACCACUAAAAAGAAGAAGAACUCAUGUGGUCUUAGAAUGACCUGCAAAUUUCUUGCACCUCCACCCUUUGGAGCUGGGGCUGAUAAAUGUUUGACUCCAGGCUGCUUGGACUGCAGUGCCUAGUGCUCUCUGCAAUCUCCCUGGCAGCCGAGGAACCUGUGGCUGCGAAGAGGAUGCAUUAUUAAUCCUCCUCCCGGGCUGCGCUGUUCACUGUGCAGAUUGAAAGGAGCUCCCCAACAUUUUAAAGACUCUGGCAGGCAGGCAGGAGCCCUUCAGAGCGGGCAGGAUUUGGGGCUUGGCGGUGGACUGUGAACUCUGAGCCCGCUGGGCAGGUCAGCGCAGCAGCCUCUUUCUGGGCGUGUCACACUCACGGUUCCACGCACUGGGAAGAUAUAUGUUCUAUGCUUUUCAUUGUGUGAUAUUUCCCAGGAGAGAUCAGGCUGUGGGUUUUUCUGGUUAAUGAUUUUUCCACUCAAACAUACACAAUUUAUGAAGACACACUUUCCCUAAGACAUAAUGUAGAACCUGUUUGAAUUUGGAUGUUGAUAUGCGGAGAGUCACUUCUCUUUGCUGAGAACUGCAUGGAUCUGUCGGCCCAUCUCCUUGUCUCUUCUAUAUGUCAAAGCUGAUUUGUUACUGAGGAUCACAUGUGAGCCACAGAUGUUCGUAUACAAGCGCCAAGCUAGGCUGCUUUGGCUGAGGGCAUGCUCUCACCAAUACAAUAAAAACUGAAGCAAGCAAGCAAACAAACAAACAAACAAAAAAAAAAAACAGAAUCUAAGGCUUGAAGAUGAAUGAGGAACUUUGGCUCUUUGUUGCUUAGUUCAGAUUUGAAAGCAGGUUGGGGUCAGCUUCUAGCAUAGUUUGGGGUGACAGCCUCAGCCCUGCCAAUCCUGUGACAUCCCCACUCGUCACUGAUACCUUCUGGCCUCUCUGGGUACCAGGCAUUCAUAUUAUGCACAGAUGUACAUAUAGGCAAACACUUAUAUACAUAUAAUAUUAAAGGGCUUGGGAGACCGCUCACAGGUUAAGAGCAUUGGCGGCUCCUGCAGAAGACUCGGGUUGGAAUGCUAGCACCCACACAAUAGCUCACAACCACUUGUAUUUCUGGUUCCAUAGGAUCUAAAGCCCUCUUCUGGUCUCUGUGGGAAGUGCAUGUAUGUGGUAUACAGAUAAAUAUGCCUGCAGGCAGAACAUAAGCUAAAAACACACAUAAGCUAAAACUCUUUCCUAAAAUAAAAAUAAAGGAACCAUACACACUAAGUGCAUACUUAUAUUUCCCAUGGAAGGUAAG